rnacentral:rRNA from 1 species
UACGUAGGGUGCAAGCGUUGUCCGGAAUUAUUGGGCGUAAAGAGCUCGUAGGCGGUCUGUCGCGUCGGAUGUGAAAAUCCAGGGCUCAACCCUGGACCUGCAUUCGAUACGGGCAGACUAGAGUUCGGUAGGGGAGACUGGAAUUCCUGGUGUAGCGGUGAAAUGCGUAGAUAUCUGGAGGAAUACCGGUGGCGAAGGCGGCAUCCUGGACCGGCAUUGACGCUGAGGAGCGAAAGCCAGGGGAGCAAACGGG